GUCAGGAUGGCCGAGUGGUCCAAGGCGCCAGACUCAGAUUCUGGUCUCCAAAUGGAGGCGUGGGUUCAAAUCCCACUUCUGACA
rnacentral:tRNA from 1 species